rnacentral:lncRNA from 1 species
ACUUUUCAGGGCCACAGCCAGGGCACAUGGAGGUUCCCAGGCUAGGUGUCUAAUCAGAGCUACAGCUGCUGGCCUACACCACAGCCAUAGGAACGUGGGAUCUGAGCCACACCUGUAAACUACACCACAACACACAGCAGUGCUGGAUCCUUAACGCAGUGAGCAUGGCCAGGGAUCGAACCCGCCACCUCAUGGUUCCUAGUCGGGUUCAUUUCCACUGUGCCACCACGGGAACGCCUGGAUGCUUCUUUCUAACUUUUCCCCAUCCUUUUGUGGGAACGAGAUUCUGGAAGUAGCAACGAGGAGGGACCCAGUGGUUUUCCAUCUUGACCUCAUUCUUGCUGGAUCUGGAUCUUCUCUGCAGCCUGCCCCCUCCUCUGCCCUGAGCUCUCCUCAGCCCAGUGCCGGCUCCAAUCCAAGCCCAUGCAUUUCGAAAGCAGAGUCUGAUAGACUCACAGCAGCGGGAAUCUAGGGCCAGAAGCACAGGAGCAUCUUUCCUGGGGAGAGAAAGAGCGCUGUGUGGGGUGAGCAGACGGACUGGUCUGGCAGGGAGGGGACAUCAGCCCUUGUGAGGAAAGGACAGGCGGCCCUGAUGUCACCGGGAAUGGACAUUGUGCUGGAGCUGCCACCAGACAGCACGUGGCCCGAGGGCAUGUUAGUAAAAGUACUGUCCCUAGAAGAGGGAGGGGCUGUGCACUGAUCCAUCAUUCAACUCUGUUGAACGGAUAUUUGUUGUGCGCCAGACACAGGACACACGCUUUCGGCAUCUGGGAGACCUCAGGGACGUCGCCAGAGACCAAACUUGUCGGCGGUGUGGAGUCUCUGUCCUGGGGGAGGGGCAGAGUGGACACUAUAUGCCUCGUCAGGGAGGGACGUGUCACAUCGGAGGUGGGAGGGGCCUUGGGGAAGGUGACCCCGAGUAGAAGUGUGUGGGGACAGGGUGGGGGGUGAGUGUGGGCCUUCCUGGGAGGGUGACCUUUGAGUCCAGAUGGGAAGGACCCGAAGGAAAUGCCCGCGAGGCUGUGUGGGGACGUUCUCUGCAGGCAGGGGACCCUCCUGGGCGAAGGCACAAGGACAGGAGGGGGUAUGUGUUCAGGGAGGAGCCAGGAGGCCGGCGAGGCUGCCGGAGGGAGGCGCUGGGAUGAGACCCACUGUCCGGCCAGAUCGUGUGGCCUCCCCAUGUGAGAAGGGUUUUGAUUUUGUCUCAGAUGUGGCGUUUGUAAGAUGGUUUGACCGAAGAUCAGGCUGGAGUGAGUGCUCUCUAGAAGCAUGGGUCUGGCUGCUGCACAGACUCAGGAGGGGAAGGUGAGCGACACCGUCAAGGAAGGAAACAGAGCAGCAUCCAGGCUGGAGGAGAUGCUGCUGGUCGGGGCGAGAGCAGGGAAUGGACGAGUCAGUGACUGGAGUCUCGACACGUUCUCAGGAUGGAUUUAGAGCAUUUCCUCCUGGAUCAAAUCUGGACUGUGAGAAAGCAGAAAGAAGGAUGGCACCCCAAACUUGAGACUGUGCAAGUUGGCCUGUGGAAAUGGGGAGAUUCUGGGAGUUCCCGUCGUAGCGCAGUGGUUAACGAAUCCAACUAGGAACGAUGAGCUUUUGGGUUUGAUCCCUGGCCUUGCUCAGUGGGUUAAAGAUCGGGCAUUGCUGUGAGCUGUGGUGUAGGUUGCAGACGUGGCUCAGAUCCCGUGUUGCUGUGGCUCUGGCAUAGGCCAAUGGCAACAGCUCUGAUUAGACCCCUAGCCUGGGAACCUCUAUAUGCCUCGAGAGUGGCCUCAGAAAAGAUAAAAAAAACAAAAACAAAAACAAAAAAAAGAAAAGAAAGAAAUGAGGAGACUCUGGAAGGAGCACAUUUGAGGAGGUGGCAGCACCUGCACUCGGAUUAGGAACGUGGCCACUGAGUGGCAUGUACCCAUCUGGGCUUUAGGGGAGGUGCCUUGGCUGGAGAAAUAGAUGGAGGAGGUGACACCCAGUGAAUGAUAUUGAAAGCUCUAAGAACACACGAGGUCACCAGGGGAGAACUGACUACAGAAGAAGAAGGACAAGGAUUAAACCCUGAACCCCCAGCGCUGGGCGAUCUGAUCAGAGCGCACACACCUGAGCAGACUGUGCGGAUCUGACCCCGGGUCCAGACACCACAGGCCCAGGGAGUCCCCAUCCCCACUCGCACAGGACUCAGCUGGACGCCUCGUUAGAUACAGUCGGUCUUGAUAAGAGGGUGAGCUUCUGCCUUUACAGCAAGGUUGGUGCUGAUGCCCUGCUGGUCUCCGGGUCACACUUUGAGCGGCAAGACGGUCCCCAGGAUUCCCACGUGCCUGUGCCUCAGUCUCCCCUUUAGAGCUUGUUAAUCAGGGUUCCUGGAUCCAUGCCCAGGGUGCUGAGAUGGGGGGUCUGGGAAGAGGCCUGAGGAUGUGUAAUAAUCCCGACCAGCAGGCCUGAGGCUCUGUCAGAGUGAGAUCCACGGAGGUCAGUGGUCAGAGAGGGAUCAGCCUGGAGUGGGCUCUUCAAUACACAUUCCCAGGUGUUUUCCUGGAAGCAAAUGACAAGACGUGUCCUCUCUACCCUGGGGUAUAACCAGGUGGCUGACUUAGGAGGUUCUCGGCUCAGCAUAAAGAAAGCCUCAGAGUUGCUAAGAGAAUCGAUUUAAAUUCACACACACACACACACAAAUGGUAAAGAUGUGACAUCACACAGUUGUCGGCUGAGGCGAUGACGAUAAUCACUUUGCUGUACGUAAGUGUUUCCUAUCGACAAUUUGUACACUAUAAACUUAAUAUUUAUAUCAAUCAUAUCUCAAUAAACUAGGGGGGGGAAUCUCUGAAUCUUGCUCUCUGAGAGUUUCCUUGUGUGUUAUUCUUGCAAAGUUCUUUGUGGGCAAAAGGAUUUCGAAUCGUUCUAAAUUCAAGUUCCCAUCAUGGCUCAGUGGUUAAUGAACCCGGCUAGUAUCCAUGACGAUGCGGGCUCGAUCCCUGGUCUCGCUCAGUGAGUUAAGGAUCGGGUAUUGCUGUGAGCUGUGGUGUAGGUGGAAGACAAGUCUCAGAUCCCAUGUGGCUGUGACAUAGGCCGGCAGCUAGAGCUGCAAUUCAACCCCUAGCCUGGGAACCUCCUUGUCCUGCGGGUAGAGCCCUAAGAAGAUAUAAGACAAAAAAAAAAAAAAGGUUCUAAUCAAAUAAAGGCAGAGAGACAGAUUUGUAGUUUUGUUUUAUUUCAGGAACAGCCCUGAGGCCACACAGCCAGGAACAGAAUCCACAGCCCUACCCAGUUCGGGUCCCGCCCGGGAACCACUGCCUUGCAGGUGGCACAGAUGCCACCAUUCACAACACCAUCAGUCCUGAUGGGGGACAGUGGACUCGGGGCUAGAUCUGCUGUCCCUGCUGCUCCUGGAAACUGGGUGACACUACUGCCACCUCUGCCACAUGUGCUAAAAUCAUUCAGCACAGGGCCAGCUUCCCUGUGUGCCCAGGUUCCGAGUCAGAGUCUGGCCCGUGGUCCCCUGCCUGGUGGCGCCUGGGGCUGGCUGAACCUGUGGCAAUGUUUAGGAAGCAAGCUUUCCUCUUACGGGGGGAGGGGUCUCAGCCUCCCACCAACACCCUCAAGUUUGAGCUUGUCCUCCUCUGGGAAGAGGAUACGGCUUCUUGGGUGGAGGGCGAGGGAAGGAAGAGAAAGGAAGGACACAUGGCGAUGUUGGGAGCAGUGCCCCAGCCCAGACCCUGACCUGGCACAUCACAGGCACUGGGGUUUGGAGGGAUGAAGGAAGGACUCAGAAAUGACACCGUCCACUUCUGCGAUGUUCUGCCCCGGGGUCCAGCUUCUGUCUCCUCCAGUUUACACUCCGGACAAGCAGAGCGCAUUUUUGAUAGAUGACAUAAUUCUCCAAAAUGUCUUCUCCCUGCCUUUGUCUCUGUGUAAAUCUUCAUGCGAUACCUCUAUACAUGAAUAUAUACAGACACAUGAAUACUUAGAUACACACACCGACAUUUUACGUUAAGUUUUAUAUUUCUUUGGACACUCCCGUCCUUCUUGGGAAAGUUCCCAUAUUUACCAGUUUCCCUGGGACCCCCACAAAAGCCCUUAAAAUCCCCCGUUUAGACACCAAAGUGCUCAAUCUCAGGUCCAGGAGAAGCUAAUCAUCCAACUGGUUUAGAAGACUCAAGGACGUGAUUUUUUUGAUUUACUCAUUUAUUUAUUUUGCUUUUUAGGGCUGAACUCGAGGCAUAUGGAGAUUCCCAGGCUAGGGAUCAAAUCAGAGCUACAGCUGCCUGCCUACUCCACAGCCACAGCAACACAGGAUCUGAGACGCGUCUCUGACCUACACCUUGCAGUGCCACCAAGUGAGGCCAGGGAUCGAACCCACAACCUCAUGGUUCAUAGUCAGACUUGUUUCUGCUGCGCCAAAAUGGGAACGCUGUCAAUGACAUGCUGUCCUCUCUUUCUUGGCAAUGACCCCUCUGGGUCAAGAUAAAGUAGUGGUUGACUUGCUCACUCUCUCUUACAAUGUCUGUCUGUUUCUCAUUUCACAAACAUUCCACAAACCAGCAGAGAGAUCAAGUACCAUUGGUUUAGGUGGACUUGGAUUCUAGCACAAACCCUGGCGCCAGAUAAACAGCAGGAGUUUAAAAAAUGAGCCCUGGGGAUUCUAUUUCCAGUAGCAUGGUACGCCUUGCUUUAGAGCUGCCUCUUCAAGUGAAAACAAAUAAAAAGAAUAGAGUAAAGGGGUGCCCUUGUGGCCCAGUGGGUUAAAGAUCCAGCACUGUCACUGCUCUGUCUGUGGUUACUUCUGUGGCGCGGGUUCCAUCCCUGGCCUGGGUACUCCAGCAUGCCUCUGGGGUUGGGCAAAAAAAAUGAUCACAUACGGAAACUUCAGGAGUUCCCAUCAUGGCUCAGCAGUUAACGAAUCCGAUUAGCAUCCAUGAGGACAUGGUUUCAAUCCCUGGCCUCGCUCAGUGGGUUAAGGAUCCGGGGUUGUCGUGAGCUCUGGUGUAGGUCGCAGACAUGGCGCAGAUCGGCUGUGGUGUAGGCUGGUGGCUAUAGCUCCAAUUCAGCCCCUAUCUUGGGAACCUCCAUAUGCAGGGAGUGUGGCCCUAAAAAGCCAAAAAAAGAAAAACAAUAAUAAAGAAAGCUUGCUUCCAUAAGUACAGUAGCAAGGAAGCAAUUCUUCAGGUCAAAAUAUCAAUGUGGGCAGUAAGCCAGACGAAAAGUUCUUUUUAUUCUCAGGCUAUUGGUCAAAUCUGGAAAAACCUUCCCUUUGGGUUUCUCAAGCUUAUGAAUUGUACUAGAAAAUGUAACCCAGAACUGACAUGCGGAGGAUAAGAGACACUGGCUCCCUGAUAAUCUGGGAAACCAAGGUUCACGUCCUCAGAGAGGAUGUGGAGAUCCUGGAACCAUGUCAUCCGCGUGGGGGGCGUAUAGAACGGUGCCGCCACUUUGGGACAGUCUGGAAGUUGCUCAGAGUUGAACACAGUGCUCCCGGAUGACUGACUCGACAGUGACAUUCCUCGUUGUUUACACAGGAGACAUGACAACAUCGGUCCACACAAAACCCUGUGCAUGAUACUCAUAACACCGUUGUCCAUAGUAGCCAAACGAUAAGAACAACUCCACUGUCCGUCACUGGAUGAAUGAAUAAAUAAAGGUGUACACGUGAGCCCGAGAACCUUACUUGGAACUAAAACAAGAAUGGAGACCAGAGGCCUAACACAGCAUGGAUGAACCUUGAAGACACCAUGUUCCACCAAAGAACAGACACCACCGCUCAUGUUGGUGAUUUAAUUGUGUUUACAGGAUUCAUAAGCAAAUCCCUUUAGGCAGAAAGCAGAUUACUGGUUGUCUAGAGAUGAGGGGAGCGGGGGAGGGAAAUGGGGGCUGACCGCAGAGGAGUAACGGGCUACAGGGGAUGACGAUGGUCUCAAAGGCUUUGGGGUGAUGGG